GGGACCUCUGAGGCUGAGGCAAGAGGGAGAUCCCUUAACCAAGUGGUUGUUUUCCAUAGCACAGCAGAACUGUUAGGUGGACCACGGGAAACUGCAAUUUUCCUAGGUCAAAGUCGGCUGGAUGUAAACCAGCCCUAUAACUGUAAAUGAGGCCCCUAUAUUUGACUUUAAUGAUUUCACUAAUUCAAUCCACGUUAAUGUGCUGCUUCUAUGGGCCUAUUUAACAGCAAAAGAAAAUAAGUGCAAAUAUUUUAAUAGUGUGGGAUAAAUAGCCCUUCAAAACUCAGUGGGGACAGAGGCCACAAGGCGGGAUGCAGCUAACUGGUAGUAAUUUAUACAAAAAUGACUGCUACAGGAGUUGGUGGAGGGAGUGGGCGCUCCCCUGGAGGUGAUGGGUGGAUUGGUGGCAGGAGGCAGGUUCGCUUUGUGUCUGGAAGGAUGGCUUGCAGCUUGACCAGCAGAGAGGGGUCAGCACAGUGAUCUUGGCAGAGACAAAGAGCAUGGCCCGAGUGUGGGGACUCCAAGAAUCACCAGCACAGGGAGACCAGGUCUCUAUCAAUAUUCGGCACCUAGCACAACCCCGAGACAGAGCAGGCACUGGUGGAGAAGAGAGUGCAUCGUGGGUGAAUGAGAAGCCGGUGGGGAUGAGCGAGCCCAUCAGCUGCUUAUGGGUUAGUGGGAGAUGAGGCUGUAAAGACUGACCAUGGUGGGUUCUGAAGACAGACGGAGAAAUCUGGAUAUCACUUGGAGGGUACAGAAUGCCCUACUAUGAAUCACACAAAUGCAGACUAUGGGUAAGGCCAGUUAUGAGAGGUUAGAGAAUAACCCUGUAGGAUUUCAUAAUUCAAAAAUUUUAAGUUGAUGUGGUUCUGGAAAAUGAGAGCAUGGGAUCUAUUAGGUUGAGUUAAAUUAUAUUGCAUUAACAAAUAAUCCUUGGAUCCCAGAAGCUUAAUUCUCUCUUGGUCACUUUGCAUUUUCACUCCAUGAUUUUGUCACUUCAGGACACUGGCUGGUUAGGAUCGCCUCUCUCAGGGACUUUACUGAUCCUAGAACAGAGAGAAAAUAAAAUCUGGUAAGCCAUAUGCAAGGUCUUUCAGUUUCUUUUUAAAAGUGAGGCAUUUCCUUGUCUAAAGCAAAUCAUAUGGUCAAGCCAGAUGUCAGGAAGCUUAACCUCCAGCCCCCAGAGACUAGUAGCAAAAUAUCCUCGAAAAAGAAAAAUACCACAGUGCAAUUACCUCACUGAAAUAUAGCGUAAGGAAAGUAAGUAGGCGAGGGGAGAUUGAAGAUCG
rnacentral:lncRNA from 1 species